rnacentral:lncRNA from 1 species
UCUAAUGAGCUCCUGUGAGUCAGAUUGAAACUAUUCUUUUGGUAGACGAGAUUGAUGAGCUAGCUCUAGAUUCUCUCGUAGUUCCAGAGCCUCUGCCAUGAGCGGGGAAGAGAUCUCCUUGUACCAUAACUUGUACUUAGGAGAGAAGGUUGGUCGUUGUUCAGGACCCAACGAAGACCCGCCGUGAGUUAGUUGGGUGACCAGGAGGCGUCGGUGUUACAGAUGCUGGUGUUGCUCGGUAGCGGCGUGAGA